ACGGGACUCUUCGGAGUUCAGUGGCGGACGGGUGAGUAACGCGUGAGAAUCUGCCUAGAGGAUGGGGACAACCACGGGAAACUGUGGCUAAUACCCAAUGAGCGGAGACGUUAAAGAUUUAUCGCCUCUAGAGGAGCUCGCGUCUGAUUAGCUAGUUGGUGGGGUAAAAGCCUACCAAGGCGACGAUCAGUAGCUGGUCUGAGAGGACAACCAGCCACACUGGGACUGAGACACGGCCCAGACUCCUACGGGAGGCAGCAGUGGGGAAUUUUCCGCAAUGGGCGAAAGCCUGACGGAGCAAUACCGCGCGAGGGAGGAAGGCUCUUGGGUCGUAAACCUCUUUUCUCAGGGAAGAAGAAAGUGACGGUACCUGAGGAAUCAGCCUCGGCUAACUCCGUGCCAGCAGCCGCGGUAAUACGGAGGAGGCAAGCGUUAUCCGGAAUUAUUGGGCGUAAAGCGUCCGUAGGUGGCUCUUCAAGUCUGCUGUCAAAGAGUGGGGCUUAACUCCAGAAAGGCAGUGGAAACUGAAAGGCUAGAGAGCCAUAGGGGUAGAGGGAAUUCCCGGUGUAGCGGUGAAAUGCGUAGAGAUCGGGAAGAACAUCGGUGGCGAAAGCGCUCUACUGGACGGUAUCUGACACUGAGGGACGAAAGCUAG
rnacentral:rRNA from 1 species